ACUCAAAGGAAUUGACGGGAGCCCGCACAAGCGGUGGAUUAUGUGGUUUAAUUCGAAGCAACGCGCAGAACCUUACCUAGGUUUGACAUCCUUUGAUAAUUGCAGAGAUGCAACAUUCGUAGCAAUACGACAAAGAGACAGGUGCUGCAUGGCUGUCGUCAGCUCGUGUGGUGGCAUGUCGGGUUAAGUCCCUCAACGAGCGCAACCCCUGUGUUUAGUUGCCAGCAUUAAGUUGGGCACUCUAGACAGACUGCCGUGGUUAACACGGAGGAAGGCGGGGAUGACGUCAAGUCCUCAUGGCCCUUACACCUAGGGCGACACACGUAAUACAAUGGUUGAUACAGAGGGAAGCGAAUGAGCGAUCAGGAGCAAAUCUCAAAAAGUCAAUCUCAGUUCGGAUUGGAGUCUGCAACUCGACUCCAUGAAGGCGGAAUCGCUAGUAAUCGCGGAUCAGCACGCCGCGGUGAAUACGUUCCCGGGCUUUGUACACACCGCCCGU
rnacentral:rRNA from 1 species